UACGGAGGAUCCAAGCGUUAUCCGGAAUCAUUGGGUUUAAAGGGUCCGUAGGCGGUUUAAUAAGUCAGUGGUGAAAGCCCAUCGCUCAACGAUGGAACGGCCAUUGAUACUGUUAAACUUGAAUUACUAUGAAGUAACUAGAAUAUGUAGUGUAGCGGUGAAAUGCUUAGAUAUUACAUGGAAUACCAAUUGCGAAGGCAGGUUACUAAUAGUGUAUUGACGCUGAUGGACGAAAGCGUGGGGAGCGAACAGGAUUAGAUACCCUGGUAGUCCACGCCGUAAACGAUGGAUACUAGUUGUUGGGCGCAAGUUCAGUGGCUAAGCGAAAGUGAUAAGUAUCCCACCAGGGGAGUACGUUCGCAAGAAUGAA
rnacentral:rRNA from 1 species